UGGGGAAUCUUGGACAAUGGGGGAAACCCUGAUCCAGCCAUGCCGCGUGAACGAUGAAGGCCCUAGGGUUGUAAAGUUCUUUCGCCUGGGAAGAUAAUGACGGUACCAGGUAAAGAAACCCCGGCUAACUCCGUGCCAGCAGCCGCGGUAAUACGGAGGGGGUUAGCGUUGUUCGGAAUUACUGGGCGUAAAGCGCGCGUAGGCGGAUCUUUAAGUCGGGGGUGAAAUCCCGGGGCUCAACCCCGGAACUGCCUCCGAUACUGGGGAUCUUGAGGACGAGAGAGGUGAGUGGAAUUCCGAGUGUAGAGGUGAAAUUCGUAGAUAUUCGGAGGAACACCAGUGGCGAAGGCGGCUCACUGGCUCGUGACUGACGCUGAGGUGCGAAAGUGUGGGGAGCAAACAGGAUUAGAUACCCCCGUAGUCC
rnacentral:rRNA from 1 species